rnacentral:rRNA from 1 species
AACCUCCGCAAUGUACGAAAGUGCGACGGGGGGAUCCCAAGUGUUAUGCUUUUUGUAUAACUUUUCAUUAGUGUAAAAAGCUUUUAGAAUAAGAGCUGGGCAAGACCGGUGCCAGCCGCCGCGGUAACACCGGCAGCUCGAGUGGUAGCUGUUUUUAUUGGGCCUAAAGCGUUCGUAGCCGGUUUGAUAAGUCUUUGGUGAAAGCUUGUAGCUUAACUAUAAGAAUUGCUGGAGAUACUAUCAGACUUGAAGUCGGGAGAGGUUAGAGGUACUACCGGGGUAGGGGUGAAAUCCUAUAAUCCUGGGAGGACCACCUGUGGCGAAGGCGUCUAACUGGAACGAUCUUGACGGUGAGUAACGAAAGCCAGGGGCGCGAACCGGAUUAGAUACCCGGGUAGUCCUGGCCGUAAACGAUGUGGACUUGGUGUUGGAAUGGCUUUGAGUUGUUCCGGUGCCGAAGGGAAGCUGUUAAGUCCACCGCCUGGGAAGUACGGUCGCAAGACUGAAACUUAAGGAAUU